CAGAGCGGCCGCAAAACAGAGCUAUUCUCUUCCUCUUCCGUAACCGAGAGACGAUCCAAUCUAGCAGUUUCCCUCUUCCAUGGCGAAACGCCUCCCUAUCCAUAAAAACGCCCCACCAGCCGCAUCUGGUCACCGCAUGCAUCCUUAUCCUCCAUCCCUCCAUCCCGAUCUGUCCCGUCUUUCUCUGCUCAAGCCAUCGAUUGCCUCACGGUGCACCACGCCUCUGCCCUCAUCUCCUUCUGUUGCGCCUUGCUGUUACGUUGGUUACCCACGACCAACCGACGCGCCGAGCCGUCGACUUGCCAUUGCGGAGAAGCUGCGUCCUGGCCUUCUGCCCUGCGCGAUUCAAAUCCUGGGAGAGCGGCCCCGCCCUGCCUAGAGAGGUCGCCGGUGGUGCUAUCUUCUCGCAUUGCCGGCGUGGAAGGUGGGAGUGGUCAGAUUUGGACUUCUCUUUUUGCGAUUAAGCAGGUGGACUGAUUAUAAGCAUUACGUCCUACGUGGUGGUGCAGUCCAACUCUGAACGUCUUUUUUUACUUUUUAUUUUCUUACUGAAGGUUAAUUCCCACACACGCUACAAUCUGAAGGUAUAUGCAAAUUUUAUAUUUCUGAGUUAAUGUACAUGUUUUACUACAUAUCAUGUUGGCUCGCUUCCUUUUUAAUUGAAAUUCCACAAUAGUUCCUCUAUACUUCCAUCUAUGCAAGUGUUCCAUAGGAGAUCACACUAAAGAGUUUCUUUUGUUUGGUUGAUGGCAGAUCACCAAAACUGAAUAUUCUGGAGUUGAUAUAUUUUCUUACUGAAGACAUUCCACAAAGGUGUCACAAGCUUCUCAAAUUAUGACAAAGAUGCGAGUUUGUAAUGACUAUCUCGCCAUGUAGGUACACCCUAGAUCCCAAAAUAAUCAAUUAAGGUGUAUAUAUUGUCCUAAUAUUUCAUCGACCCUGUUACUGAACCAUUAGGGAGGUAAAUAGUAUUAUCCACCGGAUGCAACUCAUGUUCUUCCUUUUCUUUUUUAGGAACACAUUUGGCAAUAUCUUACUAUAUAUUGUGUAUUGCUCGAGAUUUCCAAUGCAAUUACUUUGUAAAAGUGCAGAAGUUUGCUUUGAGGGCAUGCCAUCCAUAAUCUUCUUUGUCGCUCACCAUGUCUUCUUAUAUUACUUAAUGCUAAUGCGAAAUAAAUGUAUCUCCUCUGAACAACAUAAGUAUCUUAUUUACAGGUUGCCUUUGUCUUGAUUUUCAGUUUCCUUUCAGCUAUCUUUAUGUAUUAAAUAUUCAACGUUACUUCAACAUGUAUGUAUAUUUGGCGUUACUUCAACAUGCACGCAUACUGCUACGGACUCUCCUCAGUGUUACCUACUAUGAGGAAAAUGGAUAAAGGUAAACCUAUACCACACCUAUAUACUCCCUCCAUUCCUAAAUAUUUGUCUUUCUAAAGAUUUCAACAAGUGACUACAUACGGAGCAAAAUGAGUGAAUCAUACACUCUAAAAUAUGUCUAUAUACAUCCGUAUGUGAUAGUCCAUUUGAAAUAUCUAGAAAGACAAGUAUUUAGGAACGGAGGGAGUACAUGGUAUCUAACUGAUUUAGCUUGGCACCGCCAUUCGAUGCCAUUUUUUGUAAAGGUAAUGCACCGAUCAGUGGGUUAGUUUCUUAAUUUGUCUGCAGAAUUAUUUUAUCCAAUCCAUAAUUAGUCACAGGAGGGAGCUUUCAGAUAAAACAUGUAAGAUACAACUAAACAGUAUAGACAUUUAAAAGGUGAAGCAUUAUGAGUCUAUCAGACUAGUGACAUUUGCUUACUUCAUGUUGUAGGAUGGAUCAAAGUAAAUGUACUUGGAAGUUCUGAUGGAAAUUACACAUAGUCAAGACCUGGGUUAUAGCUUUGUGGUGAUGUUUUAGCUGUAUCUUUGAAGUUUUUUCCCUUGUAGCCUAUAUAUUGGAGCUGUAAAUCAGUUGGUUCCACAUGUAAAUGACCAUAUAAUCAUUUGUUCUGAUUAGAUCUUACUUACC